GACGGCUCGAGCAGGUACGAAAGUAGGUCAUAGUGAUCCGGUGGUUCUGAAUGGAAGGGCCAUCGCUCAACGGAUAAAAGGUACUCCGGGGAUAACAGGCUGAUACCGCCCAAGAGUUCAUAUCGACGGCGGUGUUUGGCACCUCGAUGUCGGCUCAUCACAUCCUGGGGCUGAAGUAGGUCCCAAGGGUACGGCUGUUCGCCGUUUAAAGUGGUACGCGAGCUGGGUUUAGAACGUCGUGAGACAGUUCGGUCCCUAUCUGCCAUGGGCGUAGGAAAAUUGAGAGGGUUUGCUUCUAGUACGAGAGGACCGAAGUGAACGCACCGCUGGUGUUCGGGUUGUGAUGCCAAUUGCAUUGCCCGGUAGCUACGUGCGGAAUAGAUAAGUGCUGAAAGCAUCUAAGUACGAAACUAGCCUUGAGAUGAGUUUUCCCUGAAGAGAUUCAGUAAGGUCCGUUUGAGACUAAGACGUAGAUAGGUCAGGUGUGUAAGUGUAGUGAUACAUUGAGCUAACUGAUACUAAUGAACCGAGAGUCUUAACCUUACAACUC
rnacentral:rRNA from 1 species